GUUCCGUGUUAAAGGUAAACAAUAAUGGCUGCUGCUGCUGGCGAACAGCCAGCAGCAGUCUUUCGACUCGGCUUUUGCCGCGACUCUUCAAGACUUGAAGUUAUCAUUUUCUUUGAGAAAUGAACAAAGAACUGCACUGAAGUCUUUCCUGGAAAAGAAAGAUGUAUUCAGAGUUUUGCCGACCGGAUACGGUCAGCCCUGGGUCCCACCCUCCUGUGUGGUGGUUCACCAUCUUCCAGGAGGCCCACCGCCUCCUCCGGUCCUCCUUCCCCUGGGUCAGGGUGAGGUUGGACAGGCCAACUGUCUUCUGCAGCCCAUAGCUCAACACAAGCUGGCUAAAUACAUCAUGGCCCGCCUGGAGAAACAGUUGAUCCCCUGGAACGGUCUGGAGAAGGCUCUGCUCACCGCGCCACACAUCUUCCAGCAUUACGCCGUCUACCUGGUGGCUCGUAGCAGCUCAGGGAGCAACUCUACGGGACGUUUGGCACGUGGGUCCAACACGGAAAACUCUCUGGCAGGGCUCUCCCACCGAUGAGCACCGCAGAGCAGGAGCUCAGAGGUGGGGACGCAGCCGUCAAAAGCAACACUCUGGGUGAGGACCCUGUCGCUCUGGACCCCGGUCUGGACGCCCCUCAGAAGGAGCAGCCCGACAGCCACAGGCGUUGUGAUCCGUCUGUGAUGGAGAACAGUAGCUGUGGACGCGUCACUGGAGAUCUCCUUCCUCCAGCAGCUCAGCCAGAGAACGGAGAGACUAACUCCGUCUCCACAACCGAGAAACUGGGUCUGCAGCUUCGCUGGGUCCUUGAGGAUAGGCUGAGAGAGGCCCCUGCCCGGUGUGUGCCUGUCCAAGGACGGGCUCAUGAAGGACCCCCCGAACACCCUGCUGGCCUGCUCCCUGAUCGCCACAGAGGUCCUUGAUCACCUGAAGACCUCGGUGAGCCCUCCUGACUACAACAAUGAGGCAGAGGAGUGUCUUCACGGGGAACAGUUGUUGGCCCCCGCUAAGGACCCCCAGAAUAUCCUGCUGGCCUCUAAUGACCCGGACCCCCAGAACCCCCCUGAUGACUUCAAGGGAGCAGAGGAGUGUCUCCACGGGGAAGACAUAACGUUGGCCUCCUCCCCUAAGGUCAGUCAUCUUAGUAACUAGUGUAACAGCCUAUCACACAGGCCACAACGCGGUGUCAUUUACAGUAACAAAGGUCUCUGUCAUUCCCAAGUGUAACCUACAGAGUGCUGCCUUCUGGCUGAGUCCUUUCAGUCUAACAGUACAUGAAACACAAAGCAACGAUUUUACGCAUGGGUGAUAAUAUGUUGCCAAAAAUGUUGUUACUUAGAACCAUACCAAUUUAUACUUUUUUUACUCAAGGGAAGCAAAUGGAUGAUAUUCAUCCAUCACCAUCAUAGCCAAAAAGCAAAGCUAUAUUAUAUUGUAUAUCGUACAUAAAUAUGGUAGAUAAUUGUUAACUUGUAACGUUUAUUUGCAUCGCAAGAUAAGUGCCUUCCUAUUUGGAUUAAUAUAGGCUCCUCGGGGCUUCCGCAGUUCGAGUUUGACUUCCUGUGGUGACCAGCAGAUGUAUGCCGUGAUAUGCAUAGACAUCUUAUAGAAAUAUAAUAUAAGAUGUCUAUGGUGAUAUGUGCCAUACCUAUAAAGUUAUUAAUGGUCACUACGCCUCGAGUAUUCUUCCUUUACAACCCGGCCGGCCGCCUGUAUUGGGCAGAAGUUACCACAAUAAUAUUUUUGGGUUUGAGGGAGGGUAAUAGUAAGGGUUUGAGGGAUUCCCAAAUUUAAAUAGCCAGAGCCAGAGCUGCUGCCUUCUGACUCAUAUUGAGGAAGCUCAACCAGGUCUUUUUCAUGACAGACAUAGCACAAAAACCCUUAUAUCAACAGUUUCACUCUGUGGUUUGUGUUGCCCCAGCAGAAGGGAAUCAACCUAUUAAACAUAUGAAGACAAAGCAAAUGAACAAAAAUACUUUCCUGUAUUAAAUCGAAAAUAGGCUCCUACAUUUCACAGCAGUUGUGAAAUGAGAACUUACUCUAGCUAUUACUCCUAUUACUUAGAUGCACUGUUGUAAAUCAUAGCUGGUCAUUUUCAAGGAACACUGACUUUAUUUUCUAUGCUCAAUACUUAAGUGAGGUUCAACAGGGGAUUGCAAAGGUUCCAAUUGCCCUUAGAAAAGGUUCAGUGAGUAUUGUAGAUUGGUACUUGAAUAAACGCAAUUAUUCUCACAUCCAACACACAUGUCUUGCCUCUUUCUGCUCACAGUACCGUGUAAAACAGAGGUCUCCAACAGAAUAUUGGAGGAUGACGAUCCAGUCGUCAAAUUAGACAACUAUUCUGGCUUUGAGGCUAAUAACCCAUACUGAGGCAGCUGUAGUUAGGCAUGUUUAUCUCCAACCCUAACCCUAACCCUAACAUAUUGCAGUUGUUCUGCAGACUUGAAACCGGAGCCCUAUCAAUCAUUUGAAAACUUUAUGAAUGCGACGCCAUUAACGACAGUAACGGCAACAUGCAGUCUGGGAAAAGUGAGGUUUGAACCCAACCAAGGUUUAUUUGAGAAACAAUUAGAAUGACUAAGUGCAGCACAAAAAGCUAUAGACGAGGGGAUAGUGGAAGACGCUUGGGCUGAAUGGUUUACGGAAUCAGAAUUUGAUCGGUUGGAAUCGAUGGUAAGGAAGGUCGAGGCAAAAUAGUUUUGUUUUUUACCUUGACUUUUUGACCAACAGGACACAAAGAGUGAGAGUGAAUGGCUCUGACAAGUUCUGCUCAUCAACGGGCUCCCCCCAAGGAUGCGUGCUCUCCUUGGGGGGGAGACUUUAUAUCCUGUAUAUACAAAUAUCUGUCAGAGGAGGUGGGACAAUAGGACCAUAAUUAAAUAUGCAGAUGACUCACUUAUUGUUAUCCUGCUCAAAGUAACCGAAACUGGUCAUGGCCAAGUCAUCAACGACUUUGUUGAAUGUUGCGAGGCGUAUACCUUUCAACUUAAUAUAACAAAGACAAAGUACAUGCUCAUUGAUUUUAGAAAGGAAAAAUGGACACAGGAAAAUACAUUAAUCCAAGGUCAAACUGUUCAUUGUGUGAAAUCAUGUAAAUACCUGGGGACAAUUAUAGAUUCAAAACCAACCUUUGAAAGUAACUCCGAAGCUGUGUGUAAAAAGGGGCACCAGCACCUUUUCUGUAUAAGGAAACUGAGCCGCUUCCACAUAGACAAAUCGAUCAUGACCCUUUUUUACCAUGCUUUUAUUGAAUCCGUUUUAUAAUUUGCACUUAAGUUAAGUGGUUCAGCCGACUAAUUGGUGAACCACAGCUCAACUUGGAGACCUUGUAUGCAAGACAGCUACAGCGUAUAACUGAUUCAAUUUUUUAAAUGACCGUUCCCAUCCAUGCACACUGAGUUUCACCUUCUGCCCAGCUCUGGCCGCAUGUUCACUGUGCCUAGGUGUAGAACAAAACAACACAAAAGUAGUUUUGUCACGCAGCCUCUACACUGAGGAAUAAGUCACAGCUAUAUUUUGCACAGAUUAUUUAUUAUUACUUAUUGCUGUUUUUAUAGACUCAUUGCUGUACUAUUUAUUCAGA